CACCGAUGGCGAAGGCAGCCCCCUGGGAUGACACUGUACGCUCAUGUACGAAAGCGUGGGUAGCANACAGGAUUAGAUACCCUGGUAGUCCACGCCCUAAACGAUGUCAACUGGUUGUUGGGGGAGUGAAAUCCCUUAGUAACGAAGCUAACGCGUGAAGUUGACCGCCUGGGGAGUACGGUCGCAAGAUUAAAACUCAAAGGAAUUGACGGGGACCCGCACAAGCGGUGGAUGAUGUGGAUUAAUUCGAUGCAACGCGAAAAACCUUACCUACCCUUGACAUGUCCGGAAUCCUGCAGAGAUGCGGGAGUGCCCGAAAGGGAAUCGGAACACAGGUGCUGCAUGGCUGUCGUCAGCUCGUGUCGUGAGAUGUUGGGUUAAGUCCCGCAACGAGCGCAACCCUUAUCAUUAGUUGCUACGCAAGGGCACUCUAAUGAGACUGCCGGUGACAAACCGGAGGAAGGUGGGGAUGACGUCAAGUCCUCAUGGCCCUUAUGGGUAGGGCUUCACACGUCAUACAAUGGUCGGUACAGAGGGUUGCCAAGCCGCGAGGUGGAGCCAAUCCCAGAAAGCCGAUCGUAGUCCGGAUUGUUCUCUGCAACUCGAGAGCAUGAAGUCGGAAUCGCU
rnacentral:rRNA from 1 species